rnacentral:rRNA from 1 species
GGGAAGUAAAAAGUCGUAACAAGGUUUCCGUAGGUGAACCUGCGGAAGGAUCAUUACCGAGUGCGGGCUGCCUCCGGGCGCCCAACCUCCCACCCGUGACUACCUAACACUGUUGCUUCGGCGGGGAGCCCCCCAGGGGCGAGCCGCCGGGGACCACUGAACUUCAUGCCUGAGAGUGAUGCAGUCUGAGCCUGAAUACAAAUCAGUCAAAACUUUCAACAAUGGAUCUCUUGGUUCCGGCAUCGAUGAAGAACGCAGCGAACUGCGAUAAGUAAUGUGAAUUGCAGAAUUCAGUGAAUCAUCGAGUCUUUGAACGCACAUUGCGCCCCCUGGCAUUCCGGGGGGCAUGCCUGUCCGAGCGUCAUUGCUGCCCUCAAGCCCGGCUUGUGUGUUGGGUCGUCGUCCCCCCCGGGGGACGGGCCCGAAAGGCAGCGGCGGCACCGUGUCCGGUCCUCGAGCGUAUGGGGCUUUGUCACCCGCUCGAUUAGGGCCGGCCGGGCGCCAGCCGGCGUCUCCAACCUUAUUUUCUCAGGUGACCUCGAUCAGUAGUCCAU